rnacentral:rRNA from 1 species
AACGAACGCUGGCGGCAGGCUUAAUACAUGCAAGUCGAGCGCUGUAGCAAUACAGAGCGGCAGACGGGUGAGUAACGCGUGGGAAUGUGCCCUUUGGUCAGGAAUAACACAGGGAAACUUGUGCUAAUACCAGAUAAGCCCGAAAGGGGAAAGAUUUAGCGCCAAAGGAUCAGCCCGCGUGUGAUUAGCUAGUUGGUGAGGUAAUGGCUCACCAAGGCUACGAUCUAUAGCUGAUCUGAGAGGAUGAUCAGCCACACUGGGACGGAGACACGGCCCAGACUUCUACGGGAGGGAGCAGUAGGGAAUAUUGCAGAAUGGGGGAAACCCGGAUGCAGCGACGCCGCGUGAAGGAAGAAGGUCUUCGGAUUGUAAACUCCUGUUGUUGGGGAAGAUAAUGCCGGUACUAAACAAGGAAGUGGCAGCUAACUACGUGCCGGCAGCCGCCGCCG